AACGUAGGAGGCAAGCGUUGUCCGGAAUCAUUGGGCGUAAAGAGCGUGUAGGCGGUUCGGUAAGUCGGCUGUGAAAGUCCAGGGCUCAACCCUGGGAUGCCGGUCGAUACUGCCGGACUAGAGUUCGGAAGAGGCGAGUGGAAUUCCCGGUGUAGCGGUGAAAUGCGCAGAUAUCGGGAGGAACACCUAUGGCGAAGGCAGCUCGCUGGGACGUUACUGACGCUGGAGACGCGAAAGCGUGGGGAGCAAACAGG
rnacentral:rRNA from 1 species